rnacentral:tRNA from 1 species
GACGGUCAUGGAACUGGGUUCCCCACCGGCUGCAAACCGGUCGGCAGUCUCGGGUAGAGAUUGGUUGGGUUCGAUUCCCAAUGACCGUC